UCUUCUCCAAUACGGCAACUCCGAUUAGGGUUUCAUCUUCUUCUACACGUUUCUAGAUUUGGGUUCUAGGGUUUGUUCGCGAACACACAAACCCCAAAAUAACUCAACAAAUCGCCCGUUCUUCGAUCAAGUUCUUCGCUAGCAACUAUCAUCAUCACAUCAAUAAGGUAUUAUUUCUCUUUAAUUUCAUUCUCUAGGGUUCUCAUUCGCCUUUUGAAUCGCCUUAAAUAGGUUAGACGUGUUCUAUAUUUUCAAGAACCUAUUUAUCUUAUUUUGUUAAUUGAUUCGGUAAUUUUUCAGCAAUUAGAGUGAACUUUGUAACAUAGAUCAGGAUUCAGGGUAUAGAUUGUUGCGAGUUGUAGCUUAUAACCUUUUAUUUUGGAUACUAUUGGUACACAAAGGUGUUUGUAGUGUUAAAAGGAAUGAAAUUGUGGAUGUUGUCAAUUUUAAACACAAGAAACAGCUGCUUUUGGAUAUAA
rnacentral:lncRNA from 1 species